UACGUAGGGUGCAAGCGUUAAUCGGAAUUACUGGGCGUAAAGCGUGCGCAGGCGGUUAUGAAGACAGAGGUGAAAUCCCCGGGCUCAACCUGGGAACUGCCUUUGUGACUGCAUAGCUAGAGUGCGGCAGAGGGGGAUGGAAUUCCGCGUGUAGCAGUGAAAUGCGUAGAUAUGCGGAGGAACACCGAUGGCGAAGGCAAUCCCCUGGGCCUGCACUGACGCUCAUGCACGAAAGCGUGGGGAGCAAACAGG
rnacentral:rRNA from 1 species